GAAAGGAGCUCCUUGCUUGCCUCCAUAUGCUCAAAACCAGUUCUGACUGGCAGUGGUCCACCUAAGCAACUGAGAAACUCCAUGUUCCAUUUCUUGGUUCUAUACAGGGCAAUCACAGUCAUUUUGCAUAAAUUCAAGAAGAAUCUGUUCUCCUUAUAACACAUCAUUGGAAAUACUGAUUAUAUUACCAAGGCUUUGACUGGAAUGUCACAUUUGAGAGAGACAUACAUAGACUCAGAUAUAACCAGACAGCUUUAAGAAACUAAGGUUGACUUUAUGAAGCAUUAGGCCAAUAAAACUCCUUGGAAGUGUUGGCCUGAUACCUUUCCCAGCAGCAUUACUAGACUCCUUCACUGCCAUAACUUCCAGCUGACAGACGAUCCUUUCUACUCAAGGAGGUUCAUACAUGUUGUCUACUUUGGAUUGGCUGCUUCUACCUUUGGUAACUCCAUUAUAUUAAUUCUCCAUGUAAGGUGCCUAAGUGGCUCAGUCAGAUAUUAUAAAAGAAGAUUAAAUUGGACCAUCUUAAAUAUUCGUGUUGAGAAUCACAUGUGUGAUGUUAUUAAUUAAGUGUCUUGAACUGAUUUUAAGCACCAAGGCCUCAAGAAAAGUACACAGACCUCCUCAUUGGUCAGAGCUGGAUACUUGACUAGUUUGCCAGGGUCAAAACCAGGGUAUCAAACAGGAUUCAACCAAGCAUGUUUGCUGGGGUCAGAGGAUCAACCCACUUAUUCACUGCAGCUGAAACAUGACGAGAGAUUCUGGCACGGACUCAACCUACCUGACCACGAAAGGUUCUAAUCAGGGAAUUCCCCUGGCAUGUUUCCUAAGGGCUGAGGAAACAAAGGCAUAUGUGCCAAUCCACUGGGACUGGGGACAUGACCACAGACUCACCCAGCAGAUUUGCUGAGCCAGAGGCUCCCUCUCAAUGUUCACCAGUGCUGGGGCAAGGAGGAUGGCCUCCAUGGUCAGGAGGUACAUUACAUGUAAGAAUUCUGAGUGAAUAUACUGUACUGAAGGUGAGUGGGAAGCCAGCUUUCUUCCCGUUGGGAAAGGGAGCUACAAAUACGGACAGAGAAAAAACACAAAUUCUACGAUGUUGGACUGGAAAUGAAGAUAUCUAUCUGUAUAUGGAUAGACUGGGGGUGGGGGGUAGGGCAGGAGAGGGAUUUCUUUUCUAGUAUUCUCACCAAAACCUAAAUCUAAAUCUAAUAAUUAUGAGGAAAUAGACAAACCUAACAUGAGGGCUUUUGGAGAACAAAUGGCUGUCCUAUUCAAAAAUACGAAGGUCAGGAAAGGUAAGGAAAAACUAAGGAACUAUUCCAGGUUCAGAAACUGAAUAGACCUGACACCUAAAUGCAAUGACAUAAUGUUAGUUUCCUGAUUAUACUGUGCGUAUAUAGGACAGUAUUACUGUUUUUGGCAAACACGCACCAAAGUACAAGGGCAUCACAUCAGCAACUUAAUCUCAAAAUGUUUCAGAAAAAAAGACGUAUGUGUGCAUGCACCCAGAGGGAGAAAAUCAAACAGCAGAUUUAGUAAAAUGUUAACUGUGGAAGUGUAUGAAAGGAAUAGAAUUCUGUAACUUUACUGUCACUUCAAAAUUAUAUCAAUAUAUAUUAAACUGUAUAUUAGCAAACUAGAAUUUAAAUAAAAACAGAAAGAAAAUUUUUAAAGCAAAAAAAACUUUAAAGUAUAUAGAUUAAGGUCAAGGCAAGAUUCAGAGCUCAACUACAAGGUUAUGUAUUAUUUUUACAUCAGAGUCUGUUUCCUAGCCUACUAUAAAAUAAUUUAUAAUUAAUAACUCAAAAUAAUAAAUCUAUCCAAAGUCCAUGCAAGUCCAUUCAGUAUCCACUUAAAAUUUUUUCACAGUACAUUAAAAGAAAAACUGUAUUUUAUAACUAGCAUCAGACUCAUUCCUCAAGGAAGCAAUUUCAAACCAUCAGAGGGACUGUAGGAUUCUUACAAAUCAGUCUGUUAACAUUUAUCCAGCAACAACAGGCAGAACUGAAGAUAUGUCACUUUCCCUUAACUCACCAUGUGCAGAUGGAGAGAUUUACUAGGGUCGAGCACGCUAGAAUCAAUUAACAUUAACAAUUUCCUCCGAAUGUCAGCUGCUCUAAAUGACACAGUGCUGGUCUGAGCAGUAGUUACACACACACACAAGAACUUGAGCAUGUCUAAGAAAAGCAGAUCUUGCUUUGACAGAUGUUCUUCAGCUAAAGGAUUCAUGGCACCUAAAAAUAAAAAGCACUUAUUAAAACUAAGAAAGGGAUGCAGCAAACACAUAUAUUGAAUAUUAGCUCAAAUAUCCUCUGAUCUACCAAAAAAGAGAAGUUAUCCUAGGAUUCUGUCAUCAAGAAAUAAUCUAUGGGAAAAUUUAUACAAACAAACUUAUUGCAAUACUGAUAAUUAUAGAGAAAUAAAACGGAGUCUAAAUUUCUGGCAAAAAAAAUGGUAAACUGAACUAUGAUAAAUAUGUUAAUUGGGAUAUUAUGAAGUCAUUACAAAGGAUAAUUAUCAAUACAAUAACUGAAUGAGAAAAUGCUAUAAUUGUUAAAAGAAAAUGAACAAGCCAUAAAAAAGCAUUUGAAUGUUGAUGCUGAUUGUAAUAACAGAUAAAGACUAACAGUGAUGGCCCUAUGAGUAUUUUCAUUCUCCUGCUUUCUGUUUUCCAAAUAAUCCAUGAUAUGGUUCUAUAUUUUUAGUAAAUAUGUUGAACUCCUGUCAUGAAGAAUAAAACAACUAAUAAAAUUCAAUCAAAAAUCAGAGAAAUCUAAAGUAUACAGAAAAGAACAAACAUAAUAGACUAUACAAGGGAAAAUAAAAUGAGCAUAAUAUUGGUAUCUAUGAGGCCUUUUAUAAUGCCAAGUCAUUACAGAAAGGUAAAAGAAAUCCCAAGCAGGAAAUAUGUAUUUACCAAUAGUACUCUGGCCCUCUCCAGAUACAUUUGCAUCACUAGCACUGCCAGCAGGGGAAUCACUGAAUAGAUUCAUGGAUGACUGAUCUUCCAUCUCCAUCAGAUUGUCAUCAGUAUCGUCUUCCAUUGAUUCUACUUCUCCAAAGUCAAAUGGCUUUCUGAUAA